AGACAUAAAUGAGAGAGAAAAAAGAAAUAAUCAAAUGGGUAAAGAAGGAAAAAAAGAGAAAUGAAAGAGAAGAGAAAAAAAAGUUGAAAAAGAGAAGAGAACAAAAAAUGUUUAAGAAGAAAAGUGAGUAACAUGGUGAGUUUGCUCUCGAAGAUCAGGAGAGAAUUUGAGAAAAAGAAUAACAAAUUAUGAGUAACAUAGAGAAGAUGAAGAAAAAGGUUAAAUAUCAAAUGUUAGAUGAUCAACAAAUUGACAACGAAAAAACUGAGGAAACGGAAACAAUUAAUAAAUCGUUUAAUCACAAUUAAUGAAUAACAAGAAAGAGAGACAAUCAAGAGAAACCAAUUUCCCUCCAUAACCUUUUGUCUCCAAAAUGAAUGUGAAUUUAGAUUCUUACCUUGUGAACAAUUACCGAAGACGACGAAAAAUUAAUUAAAAAACAACACAAAAUUAAACACAAUUAGUUGAUUGUUUGACUCAUCUCAUCACCAACGAUGAACCAACCAAAGUGAUUGGAUUUUGUUUCCAUUAUGUGGCUCACUCUACAUUCGUUACAACAAUUAACUUGAAUUCCAAUUAAUUGAUUUCUAUUCACUAAUUGUUGUUACUUUAUACAUUCUCCAUCGUAAUUUAAUCACCCUGACAAGAGAAAGAAACAUUUCCUCCUUUUCUCUUAUUCCUAACAAUUAACAUAUUCUUCCCAUUGAUUAACCUUCAGGCGAAUUGAAUGGAAGAAAAAAAAUAUAUUCAAAUGAACGAUUGGUUAAUUAGUUAAUGUUCGUUCAACAAUUAGUCUGAAUAUAUUUUCUUUCCACUCAAACAAUCAAUUCUAAACUAUUUUCCAUUCAAUGAUUACUUUUAAUUGUGACAAUUAAAAGUAAUCAUUCUAAACCGAUAGAUGGAGUCACUUGUUAUGUGUCAUUUUCUUUUUCUAUUUUUUUUUGUCUUUUCAAAUUGUUAAUUGUUUUCGUUUUGUUUGAUUUAAUUUGAUGAGUCUCUCUUUUUGAUUAAAUUUAAUCACGUAAAUUGUUUAAUGAGGUUUUCAUCUGUCUUUUAGAUACUUGAGUCAUCCAUGACCUUGAGUAUUCUCUUCUUUGUUUAAGGUUUGAUGGACAUUGAUGGUUCAUUGGUUUCCUCUAAUAACCAAAAUCUACAUAAAAACACAUCGGGUUGACAGAAACUAAUAUAAUAUAUUUUUCCCUCUCUCUCUUUUAUAUUAAUAGUAAUUAAUUGAAAGACAUCGAUAGUUAACGAAGCAAGGAGUUAAUUGGUUUUUAUCUACAAUCCAAUCAAUUAUAAUCUGUCCGUGAUCGUGGUAAAAGAUGAUGUCCCCUUUUUGUAUGGAAAUUUGGAAAAGCCUAACGAAGGAACAAAACAAAAUGGCUCUCCCUUUAUUCCGGUGCACAUGAUGUAAUGACUGAAGCAGUUUUAAAGUGAACCAUAGCAAAGGACAAAGGAGAGAGAAAAAAAAAAAAGGCCUGAUGAUGAUGAUGCUAUUUUAUCAUCGUCAAAUGUUACCAGCGAAGCAUAUCUUCCGAAAAAGAAGAGAGAGAGAGAGAGAGAGAGAGAGAGAGAGAGAAAAAGAAGGAGAACAAGUACUCACAGUGAAUAAUAUAUAAAGUGGAAUAUAAAAACACGACAAAAGCCAAGGAAAAAGAAACAACUACAUCACCCAAUCAGAAAAAAAAAUUGUUCUACAACAAGUAUACAUAAGAAUUCUAAUUAGCGGCCAAACCUUGGAUAGGAAAGAUGAAGAUCAUGUUUGGUUGUGUUGGUGUUUUUUUCUUGUUCCCUUGAACAAGUGAAAAAACGGAUUUGACGGUCCAGAGAUUAGGUCAACAGCCAAACUAUUAUCAUAUAUUCACUGGACAGUGUCCACCAAGAAGCGAAACAACAACAACAACAACAGUGAAAACUUACUUUUCUACUGGUCAAUCACCAAGAAAGUAGCCUCAAGAUGAAGGCUAAUAAGCAACAAUCAAGUUGAUAAACUUAUGGGAAAUUUGUUGUUCUUUGGCCAAAUAUUACCUGUUAAUUAUUUUUUGAGAUUCUCAUAAAAACGUUGAUAGAUUAACAGGUGGACAUUUAUGGACAGAAGUUGUCGCACGAGGAGGAUAUUGAUCAUGGACCAGUUAACUCUCAAUCAAAGUAACAUAUCAAUUUAAAAAUGACACAAUAGAUGGUCAAGAUUAUAAUCGAAUGGUCAAGGAAAGAAAGGGAAAAGAUUUGAAGAAAAUUUUCCAUCCAGUUAUUGAUGAAAAACGAGAGAGAAACAUCUGUAGUCGAAUAAUAAUAACAGGAGUUGAACGGCAAGGGGAAUAUGGUCAAAGUGGAUGGAUCAGUUGUGGUCAGUUGUUGUUGUCAUUAUUAAAAGGCCCAUAAGGUCAGUAUUUGUGGGUCAAAGGCCAAGGAAAGACCAGCUGAAUGAAAGAAGGAAAGAGAGAGAGAGAAAGAGAGUAGGAGGUUCGAAUUGAAGAUAAGGUUGAUUUCGAAACGAAAACGAAGAAAAACAUUCGGUUUAAUAUUAGGUUUCUUUUCUCCUUCUCUUCUCUUUGUCUCUUUAUUUUCUUUUGGAAUGCAAACCUCUUUUUUCUCGUAGGAAAAUAGUUAACUAGACAUCGAGUGAGAGACAGCAAAAGAAAAGGAGAUGAUGAAAGAAGCGAAAGAAAAGUCCAUAGACUUUUUCUUUCCUUUCACUUGGCUCUCUCUCUCUCUCUUUUCUCAUCUUGAAAAAUGCUCAGUAGCUCUUGUUUACUAGUCUCUUUCUCUAUAAAAGUUUACUACUAGAAAUUCACUUUACGCUUCUCAUUGAUACAAAAGCAGAGAGAAAGAGAAGAAAGAAAAACUUUGCUGGUUACCAUGAGUGUAGAGUAUUAUUUAUUUCUAUAUAAAAGAUUAUGAAUGAAAAAUAGUCACAACUAGAGUAACAAACGAUUUGACAAGAUGAAGAGAAAAUCAAGGAAUCUUUAAAGAAGAUGAAAGAUUAUCAAAGGAAAGAAAAGAGAGAAAAAAGAGAGAGAAAGAGAAAAUAUGAAGAUGACAAGAAAUGGUGAUCGUAAGGGGCGAUCACCCUUCUUAUCAUGAACAGGUGAUCUAAAGAAACGAAGUACACUCAAAAUGGAUUCACACACAAAUAGAAAGCGAAAUAGAGAGUGAGUGAGACGAUUGUAUUGACAACGGAAGAGGCACACUCACAGUGGAAACAAGAGAGAAAAGUAAGUAAAAAGAAAGAGUCUCGAAAUUGAUGAUAAAAGAAAAAUUGAGCGAAAGAGAGAGACCAAAAUAAGAGAGCAAAUGUCGGAGUUUAAAGCUUCAAUUUGUGUGUCCAUCGGUAAAUUGUUACCUGUAUACAUUAAGAGAGUGAGAGAGGGAGGGAGAGGGAGAGGGAGAGAUGUGAUGAAAUUGAAGGUAACUGUGGUAUUAGUAAGAAAUAAGGGCAAUGUGAAUGACUAAGGUGGAUCUCUCCUUGCAGAUGGUGUAGGAAGUCCGUUUCCGCUUUCACACUCUCUUUCUCUCUUUUUCUCCCUCUAUCAUCAUUUCCUUUUAAUGCCUCCCUUUACUAUCGAGAAAAAUAAGUGAGAGAAAAUGAAGAAAAAUGUGAAUGAAACUUGUAGUUUUCAUUCUUGAAACCUUAUUACAAUCAUAUCUCUCUCUCUUUCUCAUCAUCAAAACAACAACAUCAUCAUCAUCAUCUUCUCAAUGAAACAUUGUAUUAAAAACAUUAACUACAAUUUCGUUUCCAAGGGUCAACAGUAAAUAGUUACGUCGGUGGCCUCGACUCUCAUCUUACCAUCAAUAUUAUAUAUUAACCAUGAACAUCUACAACUUAUAUUGACCUUUAUCUUGCUCUUCACUUUUCCACCACCAUCAUCAUCAUCCAAACAUCUUCCUCAUCUUCCUCCCCAUCUCAUCCACCUCCACCUCCUCCAUCUCCUCCCUCUUCCACCACCAUAACUAUUUAGCCAAACAGAUAAAGAUGCGAGAUGUUCAAUUAGCCGGAACAAUAUCUUUGUUUAUGGAAAACAAUCAACAUCCAAUUCAAUUGAUAAUCAACUAAAUCAAAACUUUAUUAUUACUCUUAUAAUCCUAAUAAUACAUUUUUCUCAACAAUUAACUUUUCAUGUUUUACUUCCGAUUAUUAUUAACUUAAUCCGAAUCCAAUCUGGUGAAUAUACAAGUUUUUUCAUUCCUCUUGGAUGAUUCUGUCUCUCUCUCUCUCACUUACUCGCUAUUCUGUUAUCAUCUAUUAGUAUCAUCAUCGUUGAUGACAAAUUGUGAUUAAAUUUAUCGUCAUUGUCGUUAUCAUUUUCUUGUUUAUUGUUGACUAAACAUCCAGAGGAAACUAAAUGGUGAAUCGAGACAAUCAGAGUAAUUCAAUAUUUUCCCUUUUCAUUUGGUCACCAUUGGUCAUUUAAUAAGGUUUCUGGUUCUAAUCUGUCAGUUAAUGGUCAGUUGCCUAAUUACAAUUAGUUUUACAAUCAAUCAAUUAUCGAGGAAACAACAAAUAUUAUCAAGAUAAACAAUCAAUUGCUGCUGAAAUUGAUUAUUUAUGAUAUUGAGCUGUUAUUAAUAUCAUUCAAGUGGAUUGUAAUAUUUAAUUGUUAUCAAUUGUAUCUUUUAAAUCAGUAAUCUUGAUUAAGAGAGAAUCUAAAUUGAUAGCAAUCAAAUAAUAAAUACUUUUGAUAUUAUGCUAAAAAAAAGAGGUUACAAUUAAAUCAAAUUAACUUAUUUACUGGUCGAUGAUAAGUUUUAUUGAUCUAAUCAGUAACUGUCUCUAUUUACAUAAAUAAUU